rnacentral:lncRNA from 1 species
GGCUAGCCAUCCAAUAUCACAGGCUCUGCUUCACAAGUGUGAAUUUAACAAAGUCACAACACAGAGAGAAGAUAGCCAGGUGAAGACGGAGGCAGAGAUCUGAGUGAUGCAGCCACCAGCCAGAGGACACCUGGGGCCACUACAAGUUAGAAGAGGCAAGGAAGGAUCCUUCUCCUGAGGCUUCAGAAGGAACAUGAUCUGUGAGCACUUUGAUUUCAGUCUUAGAGCUUCCAGAAGAUGAGAGAAUAAAUUUCUCUUGGUCUAAGACCCAGUCUGUGAUACCUUGUUUUCAGCCUUGGGAAAUGAAUAUAGCAUCAGCAGGAGACUAUCUUGGAGGGGUAAAGCCUACCAGAGAGGAAGAGCCGUCUCCAGCUGUUAUCCUCAGGGAUCAGGUCUGCCAAGUUGUUUCUUCAUUAAUUGUCUUGUUCCUUCUUCC